rnacentral:misc_RNA from 1 species
AUGCCAGUUUUUCAUUUCGACGCGUCAACUUCAAACGACACAUGCUCUCGCCAGCGGCGCGAUCGUCAGUAAAUGCGGCUAAAUAAUAAAUCCACAGAGUUCGACGAGUGUCUGUGCGAAGGAUAAUGCUAGUAUGAGUUCUUAAAAACCAAAUUGCAAGCGAAUAACAAAUCGUAAUUGGCUCAAAAUCAAUUGGCUUGCGGCAGUGAAUAUGCGAAAAGUUUACAUCUGACCCAAAUAGAUACCAAUCGUAGUUCCACUAGCGAAAGACAAACCUUGGAUUAGCCGUGCAACGCCUGAGAAUUUUCGAAAAACUUGAAUUAUGGGCUUGGAAAAACAUUACCUGCGAUAUGGACGCACCGCUAGAGAUCACCUCCUUGACUGGGCCACCUGUGGGCGUGGUCGACGACAGCAGCAGCAGCAACAACAGCAGCAACAGCAACUGCAACAGCAGCAUCCGCAGCAGCAGCAGCAACCACAUGCACAGCCAUCACAGGGGUCAACUGCCACGGGGCGGAGGUCCCGCCCCCAUGUGACACACAGGGGAACGCCGCUCUCCAUGCUGAUAUCAAAUGGAGUUAGGAUUAGCAAUAGUAAGUACAACCCACUUAAUUACACCGCCAAAUAUGCCAGUCAUCCGAGUGAAUAUAAAUAAUGGAUGCAUAAACAAGGCGUAUCUGAAUGCAAAAACAAUUAGUACAUUAAUUUCAGCACGGGGCACAUCAUCAAUAAGAGUUACGGAAAAUUCUUUUUAGAAAUAGUAAACACAUAUAAGAACUCUUUGAGUAUAAUCACCAUUUUAGGAAUUUUCCCAUACUAUUUGGACAAGCUUUCCCGAAAAGGAAAUGCCUUGACUGACAGAUUCUUAUCACCUUCGUCAAAUAACAAGAAAAUCGAAUUAAAGAAAAAUGUUAUUAAACACUCAAUUAGCUAACUAAAGUCAAUAUCAACUGCCAAAUUGGUCAGAAGCCUGUUGAGUUGGCUGAAAGCAAAGACCAAACCCACACUAGCAAAUUGACAGAUUGAAAAAAUACCGCAAAAUGCUGUAUACGAAACUGGUCAUCCAAGAACUGCAGCCGAAAAACUGAAAAACGAGUCUUUGGCCGAUAGGAAAAACCAAGAGGCAAUAAGAAAUAAACCCGAAAAAACAAAAAACAAAAAAUCAAAACAAUUUAGAGGUAGACUUGAAAACGAAAAGUCGAAAACAGCUAAACUGAGCGGCCAACUAAGCGCAGAUGUAAAUCAAGGAAACACACAGACACGAACUCUAGUUUUUCAAUUCAAACGGAGACUGUAGCGUUCUAUGCAAUGGCCGACAUUGCGUAUACGCCGAGUGAGCCAAGCCAAGCCAAGCCAGCUAGGCUUAGUUAGUCGAAGGCAGCCAAGUGUGCAAACAGCCAGCCAGCUAGCAAACAGUAACUAGUAACCAUGGCCAAGAACAUUCGCCAGAGAGGGACGGCAGCUAUCUGAACUUGGCUUAGACUGGAGCCCAGGCUCCGUUUGUUUACGUUUCGCUUUUCACAAUUUUUUGGUUGAAUUUUUGUGUUUUCUGGUUUCGGUUUCACUUUGUUUUCGAGGCAUUUUCGAUUGUCGCUUAUAUAGAAUUAUAUUUGAAGCGUUUUGCACUUGACUAUUGGCCUGGCUUUAUUGCCAUGUUGGCCAAGUGCCUUGCUAUUGCUAUUGGACUUCUAGGGGAUGCUGCUUGGCCAGGGGCAAUUAUGGGUACUUCUGUGGGACGUGACGAUCGACGAAGGAUUUAUCUGAGAUGUAUCUUUACGAUGAAAGGCCAAAAUAGUAAAGCUUUUAAUUGGCCUCUAUACUGGCUUAUGUGAGAGAUGCUGUCUAGCUGUCUUACUUCUUCUUCUUACUGAGGAAGCUAGCUGAUUUCCCUUGGGCAAUUCUAUUGCAAAGUCCGAGCAUAACAAACAAGCAACAAGCACAAGCAGUAUUAAAAACAGAAAAUUGGCAAUUGAAAACUAUGUGGCCAGCAAUACUAGCCACUUUUAACUGCCAAGUACUCGGACUUGCGAAGACCAAUACCAGCAACUAGCCACGAGCUCAUUCAAAGCAAAUAUGAAAAUGUUGCCAAAUCAAUGGGCAAGACAUUUAGAGAGGGGAUGGGGGGAAAUUACCACACCGAAAGCAAUUGAACUUGAUGUUAACAAUACUUCCACAUAUGUGCAUUACAAAGUCUUCAUAUAAGUAAUAAAAUCUGAAGAUACCUUACUUUCAAUAUUGAUCCAAGUGAUUUUUAAUUAGUAGUUUUUCUCCAUUACCUUGUGAUAGAUAAGCUCCCUAGUAUUUCUCCCUGUGCAGCUGAGGCUGCAAAACAGUGAAUGAGCGUUGAAAUUGAGUGAACGAGUGGGUUCCGAGUCGAUUCAAGGGGCCAGUGAUAGCGACAGUGAGUUGAGUGCUUGCGAGUGCGAAAUCAAGUAGCCGCCGUGGAUGCCGUGUGGAUUGGGAGAGUGAGCAUGAAUAAACACAUGCAGGUUGCUUAUGGCCAAUUCUAUGUCUUGAAGGGGGGCGGGGGGGCUCUAGACGCGGGCGGCGCGGUUUUGCCCGUUUGUUUGGCCGGCUCAAACAGAGACAGGCGCGAUGGUUGCAGUCGAUGCAGUGGCUCAAGUGCCGAAGAAGAAGAGUUCCCGAAUGCAGCGGACUCUUUGGCAACACCGAAUCACGUCUGCGAGCGGAGUGUGCUUUGCGAUUAUAUAACCAGAUGCUGGCAUUAAGGCCUGGCCAAGAUCGUGCCUCAGCUUCGGCUGCUCUGCGUUGGAAUUUUUAAGAUGUUGACACAGAAUGCAGUCAACCAGAAGCCAAAACAAAUAUAAUGUUUGAAAAACGCUUAAAUAUUGAAUACUAAAUAUUUUUAAAUUGGAAAUGUCAACGUAAAACCUAUAACCUUCCUAUAAAGGAAGCGUAUAGGAAGUCUGAGAACCACAUAUGUAGAAAAAUAAAUUCGCCAGUUAAAUUUUAAUCUUGCUAUAUUAAUCUAAAUGGGGUCAUCAAUUACAUUCCGAGUGGAAAUGCCAAUUCACUUUCCAUUCUGGGUUUCUCCCCAGGAUUUCCGCUACGAGCCUUCGCAGUGCUUCCCUUUCAUCUCGGUGCGAACUUUCCAGAUCCAGUUCCUAACCUUCGGCCGGCCCAUCUCUUCAUGGGUCCUUAUCCCGGCCGAGAAUCAGUUGUAAAUGCUUUAAUUAAGGGCCGAAACGCGAUAACUUAAAUGCAAAACUGCGCGAAGGCACGUCUCGGUGGCAGAAAACCGGUUGAGAUGUGUUUUUUUCGUGGGACAUGCCCAUAGCCAUUGCCCUUUGUUUCGGCUAAUUGGCCAGUGCUGGCCACUAAGGGAUCUCCAAUAUAUGUACAUGGCAUGCGGAUAGAAGAUCGGCGGAGGAGAUGCGGUCACGUGAUGCAAAUUGUGAGGCGUACGAGGAAGUGAUCUCGGACCGCCAGGAAUUGCCAUUAUUUGCUUAAACAAAAGUGUUUACAUGGCCAUAAAGAUUUCGGGGGAGGGGCAGCCGGAUCAGGUCUUGGAAUAUUGUGAUUUGCACGGCACGUUCUUAGGCGAAAUCUCGGCGCGAUUGUCUCGGACAUUGCAACUGUUUAGCUCCAUUGUUAAUGGACUACGGUAUGGUAUUGUCUAUGCGGGUCUAGAAACUGUCUAUUGAAAUGGUAUAUGACCAGCACGCUUUGUUGCCUUUUCGCCGCCACUUUUGUUGGCCAAGAGCUGCGAAGCAGCUGCAGCUUUACGGCCGGUAAUUGUGAGCGUUAAUUUUAACAGGCAAUUGGGAAACUUGCGUUUAUUCUUUUUCGCCUUUUUUCCUCUGUUUUUUUGGGGCCAAGCUUCGAGCGAAACAACAAAUAAAAGCAGGUUGCACAGACCUCCCAGCCGGCAAAUGUUUCACUUAGGCCUCCCAGCUAAUAUUACUGACCAUUUAAAUUGUCUCAUUUAAACAGUUUGAAAGUCAACGGCAAUUGCAGAGCUCUUAGAUUUUCUCGCUUUUCUCGGUGAUUUUUUUUUUUCAAAACGUUUGUGCGUGGUUUUUGGCUGGCUGUCGAGUUUAGAAGCUUGAAAAUAUGAGAAUCGCGUGCUCAGCUGUAAUUUUCAAAAGAAACGAGCAUAUGACACCAGCGGCCAAAUCCAAUUGAAGCAGAGGCGCACAGAAAAGGGGUAUAAUAAUAUUUUACAAGUACAUUGUAAGCUGGUAUAAAUGCAAAACCCCUCCCAAGGAAACAUAGUUCAAAAUAUAAAUAUUCGAGUAGUAGUAGCAGUGCUCACUUUGCGAUCAGCAUAAUUGUCAACAGUCGUCGUUCGCUGACGUAUCAAUUGUGUGCCAAAUGUUUAGUGACCAUAUCGCUGCGGCUAUAUGCCUAUAUGCCUACAUACUACAAUGUAUAUGGCUAUAUGUAUCUUCGCAUCGGGCUGAGAAAACCCGAUUCGCAAUAGCCGUUCGAUUGCAGUAACAUUAUGGCUUUGGAGAACUGAGGAGCCGAAUAAAGCCUUCCGUUGAGACACUGUCUUCCCUUGACCUUGGGCUCCGAAAUGUUAUGUGCCUCGUUUUAUGACACUUGUCGCUUUUUUGGCUUUUUACUUCACUCUCCUUUUUUGCGUAACUUUCUCUGGGACAGAGUUUGUGAUCGUCGAGCUCUUCAGGGUCAGUGGAACACGAAGCAGAGCAGAGCCGAGCAGAGAAGCCGCCUGAACUUUGCCGGCCAAAAAGUGAUUCAAUGCACAUACUUCCAUAAUCCGGCUAUGUUUUGACAGCAAGUAAUGCACCCAUAUGGAAAAUAUGGGCUUAAUGAGUUCCAAGCUGAUUUAUGGCAUUCACGGACUAGAUUUCUGCAUCCAAGUGCAUUUUUAUUGCACUCUUACUUUUUAAUAACUUUAUUUAUAGGGAGACCAUGCAAUCUGAUUUGCAUGACAAUGUAAAAUAGUGAGCUAAAAAAUAUUUUACAAAUUGAGUUCAAACUUGGUUAAUCUUAGUAAUAGUAAAUAAUACGGUAUAAUUUAUUAUCCCUGCUGCUUAUUCCGUGUAGAGUAUUUCUGGAUUCGUCUUCCCAAUCGGAGUUCCUUCCCUUUUCACUUAUUUUUUCGACCUUAUCGCUGACGUCGCAGCUUUUGACUCAGUGACCUGCAAAAUCGAAGCUGCUUUUUAUAAGAUAAUAAAUAAUAAAUAAAAUUGAAAUUUAUGUUGUUUCAAAACGCUUCACCUUGCACUUUUUCGGGGCGGCGGCACUUUUUGGCGAAACCUGAUAGCGAAAACGCUUUUUCUCGAUCGGAUCGGCGUGGCGAUCAGUUCGUUGACUGAUCGCCGCAAGUACAGAAAAACCCGUGAAAAUACUCAGAACCCGUUGGCAUUGCAUGCCCAUCAUCUUCAUCAUCUCAGCGGAUUCAUCAGAUUCGUCAACCGAGAUGCUGCUGGCCACGCCCACCGCCUCGAAAUGCCAGCAAGAUAGACUAGCUGUGAUAAUUAUUGGGAUAAUUACUUUAAUCUUAGGCAUUAUUUUAUCCUCCAUGCCCUGGCUGGAUUAUUUUA